UUUACUUUAGUGUAUUUGAGCACAUAAAAUUUUGAUUUUUAAAGAAAAAACUUAAGUAAUU
rnacentral:tRNA from 1 species